rnacentral:rRNA from 9 species
GGGUUGUGAGGUUAAGCGACUAAGCGUACACGGUGGAUGCCCUGGCAGUCAGAGGCGAUGAAGGGCGUGCUAAUCUGCGAUAAGCGCCGGUAAGGUGAUAUGAACCGUUAUAACCGGCGAUACCCGAAUGGGGAAACCCAGUGUGAUUCGUCACACUAUCAUUAACUGAAUCCAUAGGUUAAUGAGGCGAACCGGGGGAACUGAAACAUCUAAGUACCCCGAGGAAAAGAAAUCAACCGAGAUUCCCCCAGUAGCGGCGAGCGAACGGGGAGGAGCCCAGAGCCUGAAUCAGCAUGUGUGUUAGUGGAAGCGUCUGGAAAGGCGCGCGAUACAGGGUGACAGCCCCGUACACAAAAGCGCAUGUGCUGUGAGCUCGAUGAGUAGGGCGGGACACGUGGUAUCCUGUCUGAAUAUGGGGGGACCAUCCUCCAAGGCUAAAUACUCCUGACUGACCGAUAGUGAACCAGUACCGUGAGGGAAAGGCGAAAAGAACCCCGGCGAGGGGAGUGAAAAAGAACCUGAAACCGUGUACGUACAAGCAGUGGGAGCACAGGUUUACCUGUGUGACUGCGUACCUUUUGUAUAAUGGGUCAGCGACUUAU